AAAGUGAGUUUCGCUCCAUCCCUGUUAAUAUUCCAGAAAUCUCUCAAGACCUGGCUUUGCCAUCAGGUCUAGGGGUCACAGAGGACAGUUGUGCAGCUAGAUAUCACUUCUGCCCAUUCCAGUCGCUUCUCUGAAGUCUGCUCAAUAAGACUGUCAAACAACUCAAAGUAAAGCCAUGCCAGCUCUUUCUCUAGUUGUAGUUUCCCACAAGCAAUGUGUCGCCACAUAGACCAGGAUUGUGAAUGGUUUGUCUCCAAUUAAAUAGCUCCUAUAAAGGCAGGUGUGAUUGAAGGAGAUUCUGAUGUGCAAAAAGGAUACAGAGUCCUUAAAAUGGGAAUCAUGAUGGAGGCUGGGAGGACACGCAACCAAGGACAAUAGAACAGGAGAUAUACAGAAAUCUGGUUAGAAGCAGAUGCGAACUUUCUUCUUGUUGGGCUGUGUUGGCGGGGAGGCUUUUUGCAAGAAAAAGAAGAGGAGAGACAGAGAAGCUGCACUUCUGAUACAUUAUUAAACAAGCGCUCACAGCAUCCACUACGAAGCGAAGAGAGAUGGAGUGACGAAAAAGGAGACCGAGA